ensembl:lncRNA
AAACUGCCAAUCCAUCCCUCCACCUUCAGGUCCCCUUCCCAUCCCCACGUCCCCACCCACAAGUCUGUUUUCUCUGUCUGUACCACAGAUAAUCUUGAAUUUCAGUGGCUGCAGUGGAGAAAUUUGAACCAUCUUACUUUUGAUUUAUUCUUAUUCUCGAUACAGCUUUGUAGCAAUGCCACAUACCUUCUUAAAAAACAAAUGAUUGGCACCCAAGUGCAGAGCGGUGAGCUGCACACACGUGCAUCCCUGCGCGCUGGCUGCAGGAGCAACAGGAGGCUGUACUCUGAAGAGUCUUUUCUGGCCUCUCCGUUCACCUCCAGGCAGUGACUCAGGAACACAGAGAUCUGGGCACCACUCGAACGAGGAAUUCCUGGUCAGAGACAGAAACUAUAGUUGGCCCAAAGCUCUUGGCACAAAUGUUUUAAAACUGUUGUUGAGGUGGGAGAGAGGCCAAGACGACAGAGGAGAUGGACUUUGACCACACCUCCUUUCAGGAACACACCAAAAUCACAGCUGCUGAACAAACAUUUCCCAGACUAGCAGAGAAGAACAAAAUACUUCAUGCAGCGUAUGCUUCACAAAAAGAAGACGACAGUUACAGGUUCCUGGGUACAGGCGGCUGAAGUCAAAUGACAUCACCGGCAUACAAUGAAGAGAUCCUAGAGCUUUGAACAGAGCAGUGGGAGGAUUUAGUCAUCACAGGUGCAUUGUAAUAUAGGUGUGCCAAAAAGCAACAGCAGCGACAACAAACAAAGAAAUCUGUGCCAUAGCAUUCAGUGCCAUACUUAGGUUUGAGAUGAUAAUUUAGUUUAAGCCAAUUAUUAUCUGUCACAUUAAAUUA